rnacentral:tmRNA from 1 species
GGGGACGCACUGGUUUCGACAGGUAUGUGGAACGAGGAUAAGCGAGCCGUGGCGGUGAACCACGUAAAAAGCACUCGUUAAAAAGAAACGCAAAAACAAACAACAAUUUCGCACUGGCUGCAUAGUUCAGCCCCGCGCGUCGGCUCCGGUUCACCUGCAGACCGGAAUCCCGGCGUCAUGCAUGCAGGAAAACUCUUGCGUGAUCUCCUGCUAGCGUAAGAGGACCAAGCGGGAUAGUCAGGUGUGAGUCCGUCAUGUGACGCUCACCUGGCGAAAUCAAAUACAUGACUGCGCUCGGAGAAAGUCUUCCGGAAAUAUUCUUGGACGUGGGUUCGAUUCCCACCGUCUCCACCA